rnacentral:rRNA from 1 species
AGUGAACGCUGGCGGUAGGCCUAACACAUGCAAGUCGAACGGCAGCACAGUAAGAGCUUGCUCUUACGGGUGGCGAGUGGCGGACGGGUGAGGAAUACAUCGGAAUCUACUUUUUCGUGGGGGAUAAGGUGGGGAAACUAAGCUUAAACCGCAAAACGCCUACGGGGGGAAACCAGGGGACUUCGGACCUUUGGCCGAUGAAUGAGGCGAUGUCGGAUUAGCUAGUUGGCGGGGUAAAGGCCCACCAAGGCGACGAUCCGUAGCUGGUCUGAGAGGAUGAUCAGCCACACUGGAACUGAGACACGGUCCAGACUCCUACGGGAGGCAGCAGUGGGGAAUAUUGGACAAUGGGCGCAAGCCUGAUCCAGCCAUACCGCGUGGGUGAAGAAGGCCUUCGGGUUGUAAAGCCCUUUUGUUGGGAAAGAAAAGCAGCAGGUUAAUACCCCGCUGUUCUGACGGUACCCAAAGAAUAAGCACCGGCUAACUUCGUG